UCUCCUUCAUAAUUGAAUGAUUCUCUUGAAGUCUCUAUACUCACUUUAUAAAUGACCUAGCAAAUUAAGGUUUUGCGCUGUAGUUAAUGAAAAUUUUGUAUUUAUUUGGCAUGGCGCUUGAACUAAUAAUUACAAGGAGAUUGAAAAUCUGACUUAUUUAAUUAUGUUUGUUGGGAUACAGGGCGGACAGUUGGCUGCUAUAAAUCUUGUAUCUCGUGCGGCCUUGCUUGCUGCAAAGAAGGACUCUGAAGAAGAAUGGUUUUUCCAGGUUCUGCUCUUGUUGGGUUCCUUUGCCUGACGUGGAGUUGAAGUGUAUUGCUUGGUGGGUGUUUGUUUACCCGCGAUUUGAGGUUGAGCUUGGAUUUACAAAUUACAAAAUAGGUGGAUUUGAGGUUGAGCUCCGAUUUGCCUAGGCGUUGACUCCCACUUAGCCGACACUAACGCCGCCUCCGACGAGCAAGGGUCAUUACUGAACUUAAACCUGCUGGAAUUAUCUUUCAAGCUUGCUGGUUGGGACUGUUUUAGUGUCAUUUUAAUCCCAAUUUGGUAUCAAUUUGGGUGCAAAUUUAUCGGAUGGCUGAAUCAGAGUUGCAGCAUGAAACUUCCCAUCUUGCACACGUAAUGCGUGAUAUGGAAAAAGAUUAUGAGUUUGCGGUAGGAAUGGUUUUUCCAAAUGAACUUGAAGCAUACGAUAAGUAUGUGGCCUAUGCAAUCGGCAAAGGAUUUGGGGUG